GACGAACGCUGGCGGCGUGCUUAACACAUGCAAGUCGUACGGUAAGGCCCUUUCGGGGGUACACGAGUGGCGAACGGGUGAGUAACACGUGAGUAACCUGCCCACAACUUUGGGAUAACGCUAGGAAACUGGUGCUAAUACUGCAUAUGUGCCCCUGCUGCAUGGUGGGGGUUGGAAAGCUCCGGCGGUUGUGGAUGGACUCGCGGCCUAUCAGCUUGUUGGUGGGGUAGUGGCCUACCAAGGCGGCGACGGGUAGCCGGCCUGAGAGGGUGACCGGCCACAUUGGGACUGAGAUACGGCCCAGACUCCUACGGGAGGCAGCAGUGGGGAAUAUUGCACAAUGGGCGCAAGCCUGAUGCAGCAACGCCGCGUGCGGGAUGACGGCCUUCGGGUUGUAAACCGCUUUCAGCAGGGACGAAGCUUUUUGUGACGGUACCUGCAGAAGAAGCACCGGCUAACUACGUG
rnacentral:rRNA from 1 species